UACGAAGGGGACUAGCGUUGUUCGGAAUCACUGGGCGUAAAGCGCACGUAGGCGGAUUUGUAAGUCAGGGGUGAAAUCCCGGGGCUCAACCUCGGAACUGCCUUUGAUACUGCGAGUCUUGAGUCCGAUAGAGGUGGGUGGAAUUCCUAGUGUAGAGGUGAAAUUCGUAGAUAUAGGAAGAACACCAGUGGCGAAGGCGGCCCACUGGAUCGGUACUGACGCUGAGGUGCGAAAGCGUGGGGAGCAAACAGG
rnacentral:rRNA from 1 species